AGGCGAAAAGAACCCCGGGAGGGGAGUGAAAUAGAUCCUGAAACCGCAUGCAUACAAACAGUCGGAGCCUGGAAACGGGUGACGGCGUACCUUUUGUAUAAUGGGUCAGCGACUUACAUUCAGUGGCAAGCUUAACCGAUUAGGGAAGGCGUAGCGAAAGCGAGUCCGAAUAGGGCGUUCAGUCGCUGGGUGUAGACCCGAAACCAAGUGAUCUAUCCAUGGCCAGGUUGAAGGUGCGGUAACACGUACUGGAGGACCGAACCCACUAACGUUGAAAAGUUAGGGGAUGAGCUGUGGAUAGGGGUGAAAGGCUAAACAAACUUGGAAAUAGCUGGUUCUCUCCGAAAACUAUUUAGGUAGUGCCUCGUGUCUCACCUUCGGGGGUAGAGCACUGUCAUGGUUGGGGGGUCUAUUGCUGAUUACCCCGCCAUAGCAAACUCCGAAUACCGAAGAGUGCAAUCACGGGAGACAGACAUCGGGUGCUAACGUCCGGUGUCAAGAGGGAAACAACCCAGACCGCCAGCUAAGGUCCCUAAAUAUUGCUAAGUGGGAAACGAAGUGGGAAGGCUAAAACAGUCAGGAGGUUGGCUUAGAAGCAGCCACCCUUUAAAGAAAGCGUAAUAGCUCACUGAUCGAGUCGUCCUGCGCGGAAGAUGUAACGGGGCUAAGCAAUAUACCGAAGCUGCGGAUGCACGUAAGUGCAUGGUAGGAGAGCGUUCUGUAAGCCUGUGAAGGUGUCUUGUAAAGGAUGCUGGAGGUAUCAGAAGUGCGAAUGCUGACAUGAGUAGCGAUAAAGGGGGUGAAAGGCCCCCUCGCCGUAAGCCCAAGGUUUCCUACGCAACGUUCAUCGGCGUAGGGUGAGUCGGCCCCUAAGGCGAGGCAGAGAUGCGUAGCUGAUGGGAAGCAGGUUAAUAUUCCUGCACCGUCGUAUGAUGCGAUGGGGGGACGGAUCGCGGAAGGUUGUCCGGGUGUUGGAUGUCCCGGUCCCUGCAUUGGAGAUGGCACUUAGGCAAAUCCGGGUGCGUGAUUCAAGGGUGUGGGGCGAGCGACUUUAGGUCGCGAAGCAAUUGGAAGUGGUUCCAAGAAAAGCCUCUAAGCUUCAGUCAUACGAGACCGUACCGCAAACCGACACAGGUGGGCGAGAUGAGUAUUCUAAGGCGCUUGAGAGAACUCGGGAGAAGGAACUCGGCAAAUUGGUACCGUAACUUCGGGAUAAGGUACGCCCUUGUAGUUUGACUGGCUCGCGCCAGAAGGACGAAGGGGUUGCAAUAAAAUGGUGGCUGCGACUGUUUAAUAAAAACACAGCACUCUGCAAACACGAAAGUGGACGUAUAGGGUGUGACGCCUGCCCGGUGCCGGAAGAUUAAAUGAUGGGGUGCAAGCUCUUGAUUGAAGUCCCGGUAAACGGCGGCCGUAACUAUAACGGUCCUAAGGUAGCGAAAUUCCUUGUCGGGUAAGUUCCGACCUGCACGAAUGGCGUAACGAUGGCCACACUGUCUCCUCCCGAGACUCAGCGAAGUUGAAGUGUUUGUGAUGAUGCAAUCUCCCCGCGGCUAGACGGAAAGACCCCAUGAACCUUUACUGUAGCUUUGCAUUGGACUUUGAACCGAUCUGUGUAGGAUAGGUGGGAGGCUUUGAAACCGGGACGCUAGUUUCGGUGGAGCCGUCCUUGAAAUACCACCCUGGUUUGUUUGAGGUUCUAACCUUGGCCCGUGAAUCCGGGUCGGGGACAGUGCAUGGUAGGCAGUUUGACUGGGGCGGUCUCCUCCCAAAGUGUAACGGAGGAGUUCGAAGGUACGCUUGGUACGGUCGGACAUCGUACCUAAAGUGCAAUGGCAAAAGCGUGCUUAACUGCGAGACCGACAAGUCGAGCAGGUGCGAAAGCAGGACAUAGUGAUCCGGUGGUUCUGUAUGGAAGGGCCAUCGCUCAACGGAUAAAAGGUACUCUGGGGAUAACAGGCUGAUACCGCCCAAGAGUUCAUAUCGACGGCGGUGUUUGGCACCUCGAUGUCGGCUCAUCUCAUCCUGGGGCUGUAGCCGGUCCCAAGGGUAUGGCUGUUCGCCAUUUAAAGAGGUACGUGAGCUGGGUUUAAAACGUCGUGAGACAGUUUGGUCCCUAUCUGCCGUGGGCGUUGGAAUCUUGACGGGGGCUGCUCCUAGUACGAGAGGACCGGAGUGGACGCAUCACUGGUGUUCGGGUUGUC
rnacentral:rRNA from 1 species